rnacentral:lncRNA from 1 species
AUGACGCCAUACCUCUAUGCGGCGCUGAAUACUAAGCAGGCUAGGCACAGACUCCUGCGGUGCGCCUGCGCCUGCGCCUGUUUGCUCCGCCCUGCGGUCUUCGUCCUGGCCGCGGCGCUCGCGAGCUGCGGUGGGACUGCGCUGGGGGUCGCUGUGCUGCGGAAGCUCGGCUCCGCCCCCUCCGGCGACAGCCGGGGAAGCUUUGUUUUUGUGACGCAGCGCACUGGUCGUCUUCUGACAGGGUGGCGGGAACUUUCGCGGAGGCCCGUUUAUCCUCCGUUUCGAAGUUGCCAACUUUUGUUGGAUUUCCCUGCUUGUAGCCUUUACGUAGUCAUUACGCUAGGCAAGCUUCUGUUUAGGCUAAGCCUGUGCCUCUUGAGUGCCUGCUCUGAAGAAGGUACUGUGAUUUACUGGUGAACAGUCUCAGUGCUAAACUGAUUCAUCAACUCCUGAACACCUGUCAGAUUUCUCAUCUCUUUCUGAGCCCCUUUGCCACUGUCCACAUUUCUUAAUUUUCACUGCCUCUAGAGCUGUUCUAGACUUAUUCUGCUGCAGACAUAUUUAAGACAAUCAUCUAAAAAAUAAAUUUAACCUUGUGUUUCCUUUUUUAGAGCUUUUUGCUAGCUCCUAGCAUGAACAGAAUCAUGGCUUGACCUUUUAGUUUUUGUUUUGGUAUCAGGACUCAAACUCAGGACCUUGUGCUUGCCAGGCAGGUGCUUGUGCCACUGAGCUAUAUCCCCAGCACCAUGGCUUGACCUUGAACCUUUGAACACCAAUAAGAAACACAGCCUACCGGACAUGGUGGUAUACACCUGAAAUUCUAGCACUUGGGAGCCAGAGGCAAGAGGAUCACAAAUAGAGGCCAGCCUAGGUAAUUUAGGCAAGAGAAAGGGAGAAGGAAAGAAGGAUUAAAAGACAUUCUAGAUGAGCUUUAUAUUAAUACAAAAUCUGCUUUUUCUUUGGUUUCUGAC